AACGAACGCUGGCGGCAGGCCUAACACAUGCAAGUCGAGCGAGGACUUCGGUCCUAGCGGCGGACGGGUGAGUAACGCGUGGGAACGUGCCCUUUGCUACGGAAUAGCCCCGGGAAACUGGGAGUAAUACCGUAUGUGCCCGAGAGGGGAAAGAUUUAUCGGCAAAGGUUCGGCCCGCGUUGGAUUAGGGAGUUGGUGGGGUAAUGGCCUACCAAGCCGACGAUCCAUAGCUGGUUUGAGAGGAUGAGCAGCCACACUGGGACUGAGACACGGCCCAGACUCCUACGGGAGGCAGCAGUGGGGAAUCUUAGACAAUGGGGGAAACCCUGAUCUAGCCAUGCCGCGUGAGCGAUGAAGGCCUUAGGGUUGUAAAGCUCUUUCAGUGGGGAAGAUAAUGACGGUACCCACAGAAGAAGCCCCGGCUAACUCCGUGCCAGCCGCCGCAGUAACAC
rnacentral:rRNA from 1 species